rnacentral:lncRNA from 10 species
CCUGGCCUUUGAUUUCCUGGGAGGAACAGCACUUGGAACGGAAGAAGGAUUUCACCAUGUUGCCCAGGCUGGUCUCAAACUCCUGGCCCAAGUGAUCCACCGGUUUCAGCCUCCCGAAGUGCUGGGACUACAGGUAUGAGCCACCGCACCCGGCCCUGUGGAGGUGGAUACUGUGACUGAAUGAACUCCUACACUCUGCACACCUGUGAACACCCAAAGCUGAGGAGAAGACCUAAGACUUGGGAAAAUGUACCCUAUGGUCAACCCUCCCCUUCCAACAGGGCAGCCAGCGGGAACUGUGACUACAGAGCCCAAUCUUCUUGUUUCCUAAUGUGGUGCUGAAAUCUGCACCAUGGGGUAGUGACCCCACAAAGAAGCCAGGCAAUUACAUAUGUUGGUUCAUUUCAUUAGUUUAUGGAAAUAAAAUGCAUACAACUGUUUGCUGAUAAAUCAUCCCAUUUAGUAUCUAUUACUUUGCAAAAUGUUUUUUGUUCAUGUUUGGUUUACUCAAUAUUUUUCCUUGUUUUUGAGACAAGGUCUCACUCUGUCACCCAGGCUGGAGUGUAGUGGUGUGAUCAUGGCUCACUGCGGCCUCAACCUCCUGAGCUCAAGUGGUCCUCUCACCUCAGCCUCCAGAGUAGCUGGGACCACAGGUGUGCACUGCCUUGCCUGGUUCAUUCGUUCUUUUAUUUAUUUAUUUUUUUUUUGAGGCAG